GGAGAGAUGGCAGAGCGGUUAAUAGCUCCGGUCUUGAAAACCGGUGUAGUUUUACAAACUACCGAGGGUUCGAAUCCCUCUCUCUCCG
rnacentral:tRNA from 1 species